rnacentral:rRNA from 1 species
UACGUAGGUGGCAAGCGUUAUCCGGAUUUAUUGGGCGUAAAGGGAACGCAGGCGGUCUUUUAAGUCUGAUGUGAAAGCCUUCGGCUUAACCGGAGUAGUGCAUUGGAAACUGGGAGACUCGAGUGCAGAAGAGGAGAGCGGAACUCCAUGUGUAGCGGUGAAAUGCGUAGAUAUAUGGAAGAACACCAGUGGCGAAAGCGGCUCUCUGGUCUGUAACUGACGCUGAGGUUCGAAAGCGUGGGUAGCAAACAGG